UACGUAGGGGGCAAGCGUUGUCCGGAUUUAUUGGGCGUAAAGAGCGUGUAGGCGGUUUGGUAGGUCCGCUGUGAAAACUCGAGGCUCAACCUCGAGACGCCGGUGGAAACCAUCAGACUAGAGUCCGGAAGAGGAGAGUGGAAUUCCUGGUGUAGCGGUGAAAUGCGUAGAGAUCAGGAAGAACAUCGGUGGCGAAGGCGCUCUGCUGGACCAUAACUGACACUCAGGGACGAAAGCUAGGGGAGCGAAUGGG
rnacentral:rRNA from 1 species